UUUGCAUUACCCCCAAAGCGGAGGAAUAGAAACCAACAGGGAUUGCCUCAGUAGCGGCGAGUGAAGCGGCAAGAGCUCAGAUUUGAAAUCGUGCUUUGCGGCACGAGUUGUAGAUUGCAGGUUGGAGUCUGUGUGGAAGGCGGUGUCCAAGUCCCUUGGAACAGGGCGCCCAGGAGGGUGAGAGCCCCGUGGGAUGCCGGCGGAAGCAGUGAGGCCCUUCUGACGAGUCGAGUUGUUUGGGAAUGCAGCUCCAAGCGGGUGGUAAAUUCCAUCUAAGGCUAAAUACUGGCGAGAGACCGAUAGCGAACAAGUACUGUGAAGGAAAGAUGAAAAGCACUUUGAAAAGAGAGUGAAACAGCACGUGAAAUUGUUGAAAGGGAAGGGUAUUGCGCCCGACAUGGGGAUUGCGCACCGCUGCCUCUCGUGGGCGGCGCUCUGGGCUUUCCCUGGGCCAGCAUCGGUUCUUGCUGCAGGAGAAGGGGUUCUGGAACGUGGCUCUUCGGAGUGUUAUAGCCAGGGCCAGAUGCUGCGUGCGGGGACCGAGGACUGCGGCCGUGUAGUCACGGAUGCUGCGACGACCC
rnacentral:rRNA from 1 species